GAAAAUUGUGCUGAUGCUGAUACGUAAUGGGUCAAAACGGAUAAUAUCUGCUAAUGGUUGUUUUGGGCUGUUAGAGUUGAUAUCGGAUACCUACGUAUCGGACAGUGUGACAGCAAGGACUCUGGCCCCCAAUAAGAAAAAUUGUCCCAUUCUUCUUUCGGUGUUUUGUUCGACACAAGGAUUCUAUUAACAUAGCUAAAUUAAAGAGCAUGGUUUUGCUUUGGACUUUCAAAAAGUAUUGUACCAAUGGAGAUGUGUUUAUUAUUCCCUAAAUUAGCGAACGUAGGAUUACCCCCACAAUCCUCAACACUCCUUCUACGUCAAACUUUUUAACCGUUCAAGGCGAAGAAGGAAUCAUAGAAAGCUCAGCUAGCGUGAUCCAUGGUUCUUGGUGAUCCAGUAAGUUGAGAACUGUCGAGACUAACAGCAUAUAUCUUCCUCUCGCAACUUCAAGGCAACGAAGGAAUCCUUAAAGAGCUGCAGCUAGCUGGAUUUCAUGGGUUUUGGCGAUCCAGUACUCUCCUCAAAUACAAUUUCAAGGAUAGGUUGAUGGUGCAAAAGAAGUAGAUGAAAGGCUUCAGGGUGGGCUUAUGAGUGGAGCCCGUGAACGUAAGGGCUCAAGCAACCCAAACAUGUAUACGAAGAAAGGAGUGCAUAAGCAGUCGGAUGCCAAAGCUUUCGAUUUGAUUGGUUCAAAGCCACUGGGACUCAUUAUGUAGAGUUCAGAAGACACUUCCAGUAGGUAUUAAAAAUAUAAGUUACCAGGUAAGAAUUAUUGAAUUAAGAUCAGUGUGAUGUCUCACAUUCUU